UACGGAGGGUGCGAGCGUUGUCCGGAAUCACUGGGCGUAAAGGGUGCGUAGGCGGGUCUUUAAGUCAGGGGUGAAAUCCUGGAGCUCAACUCCAGAACUGCCUUUGAUACUGAGGAUCUUGAGUUCGGGAGAGGUGAGUGGAACUGCGAGUGUAGAGGUGAAAUUCGUAGAUAUUCGCAAGAACACCAGUGGCGAAGGCGGCUCACUGGCCCGAUACUGACGCUGAGGAGCGAAAGCGUGGGGAGCGAACAGG
rnacentral:rRNA from 1 species